rnacentral:lncRNA from 1 species
CAAGUUACGAGGACUACUACGUUUUUUCAUUUCUACUAUUUAGAAGUGGGAGUAAGCAGGACUUCAUCGUCCUGCUUCCCGGGGUAAAAAUGGAAUUUCAUCUAUGAGCUAUAUAAGUGGUUGACUGGUCCGCUGUAUAUAUUGUAUUUUGACAUUAAUCAACAAAAGAUCUUAAUCAAGAAUGCGCUGCGUGUCCCAUGGGUGAAAAGUUGGGCACAUAAUUACCUUUGUGCCCUUUUUGUACUAAUCGUUGGUUCUUCUUCCUAGGUCAAUAUGUCUCUACACUUUCAGCUUUAUCUUCAAGUCUUCUCUGACAGCAUCGUCUCAUCCAAAUUCGAUGGUAUAGAUAAAUUUCCAAAAUUCAGUUUCCCUUCCAAUAAAUUCCUCAUUUUAAUGUUAGAUAUUGAGUUAAAAUUGGGAGUUCUUCGGGAAGUUUCUUAACUUUCUAUCUGGAAAUUUAGGAAUUAAGUGUUGAAACAUGUUGCACCUUAUUAAUUUACAGCUGCGUGUUUUCAAUAAUGUUUCCCUUUUGCAAUUCCUUGCGACAUUCGGUUCUUUAUUAACUUCUCUGAUUUCGCUACUUUCUCCGUUUUUACUGAUAAAUGGUCAUAUUUGUUUUAUUAUGGUCCGAAGGAAACCAGUGGCAUGAUAACGAGUAUGGACAUGACGCUAGCACGAUAGAACUUGGCCGGACAUACAAAGCUGCUUCUCCCAUUACGGACACCAAUUUGUGAAAGAUAAAUAUCAUCUAAUGGUAUGUACUAUCCAUAAAAUAACUGCAAACUGAUCAAAUAAAAAGUAGUCCAAAUAGGUAAAAUGGUGUUGUUGGACCAUUGUAGUCAGGUUCGAUGUAAUUUAUUUCCUUUCCCCCGACGAAAAGGUAUUCAGUUUGAGUAUUUUUUAGAUUUCAGAGGUGUUCAUUAUUUUGGGUAUUGCAGAAGUUAGCAAGAAACUAAGCUAAAAUGUAGUAGGUCAUGUACUUUUGCUUCUUUUCUUAUUUUUUUAAUGGUGAUUUAUAGUUUUAUACUCUCUCUUUUGGACAUAAGAUGGCUUAGAGAAGUUAUGCCAGUUAUUUCUUGUUGCAUCUUGCAUUUUGCCUCACUGUGAUGCAGUGUUUUCAUUAACCUGUUAAUAAGAAUGUCAGUCUCCGGUUAAUUUUGUAGGUAAAAUACUUUUAAGAUGAAAAAUGAACCUUCAUUUAAUUGUGGCUGCGUUGCAAUAUUUUUGCUCGCUCUCAACAUCAAAUUCUCCAUUUAACUUGUGUACUUGAUUAAUAAUCUGAUGUAGCAUAGUGACAAAACUUGCCUUCUCAGAUUUACUAUCCAAGAGAUGAAUUUGUGCAUAUUUAUUUGCUUUUAACCUGAAAUGUGUCAAAUUCUUGGACAAUAGAAUUGUUGAUUGUUACUCUUCAAAAAGUUUUAUUCAGGUAGAUUGUAAGCACAUUGUAGAUCUUUUAAA